rnacentral:lncRNA from 1 species
CGAAAACGAUGCUAGAAGGUCCAAAUCCUAUAAUGAAAAGCAUAAGAUGAUUAACUUCUUGUAAAAUAAAUAUUUCAUAUGACAUUAGGGUUCUUAAAGGUGCUCAAGUCGUUAUUUGGUACAAAACGCUCAACCGACACUUUUACCCGAUUUACCCGAUUCACCCGAUUUACGCGAUUUCAGGUGAGUUCAUACCCCUUUAAUGAACCUUUCAAAUGUUUUAAAUGUUUUAAAUGUUUUAGGGGGGAGAUACAAGUUACUUAUAUAUGUUUAUGGAAAGUUUUACAGAAUGAUUUUCCACGUUACGAGGAUUAAUCACAUGUGAUUCACUAUCCUUAGUUCAAAUCACAUGUGAUUUAUCACUAUGCCUUAUAAACAGGUUUUUGCAUUUUCAAAACUAUUUUGGACAGCAAGCCAUAUUUUUAAAUGUUCUUUUGGAAAAUAUUUUUAUUAAAUCAAUUUAUUUAUAAAAUGUAACCACUCUGAUAUAUUUAUAUAAGUAAGACUUGGAGGACUUAGGACCGAUAUCUCGCCUUAUUUACUGUUCUUGUUUGAUUGUGGGCUUAGGGUAGUAGUUAUCUGUCCGACUGUCGUUGAUUUCUUAGUUAUAUAGCUUGUAUAUUAGUAUGGGAUACAAAUAAUUCUCUUUCACUAAAAUACUAAAGUCACUAACCUGUCAAGAACCAUCCACACUAAGAUAACUAUAAUAGGUAUAGUUAAUGUUGCUACUGCUACUACUCGCUAAAGUCACUACUCUCUACACUAUAAUACUCACUAUUACUAGACAAUACACUAGUAAGAGAAUACACUAUGAUCAAUACUAAAAGAUUACUACACUAUAACAGAAGAGAAAACACUAAACAAACAAUAAUACACUAACCCGCUACGAGAUACUCUAUUCGCUACCCACUACGCCCGGAGUUUUCCAGCAGGAAGACGACACUACAUGUAUAGAUCUAUACGGGGCAGACGCUAUUACAUCCCGACUGAUAAUAUCAGUCCGCGCCGUGCAGGCCCAUGGAUGCCACUACUUCACUAUACUGUGCAUGACUGGAAAGGUCAUGGGGUCCGUUAUUAUCCUCACUAGUAGAAAUAUACAAGGAAUACACUAUAACUAUACUAAAAUAUUACGCUAAACGCUAAACUACAUCCUGAAGUAAGUAAGUAUCUAUCCCUAACGGAAGCUUUCAUCACUAUCAAUGAUUACAGGCUUAACCUAUUCUAUCACAUUACUAUUUUGGAGAUUUGCUAAUAUACUUUUACAAUAAACUGUUUUCAAAAAGGAAGAAUGCAUACUUUUAAUAGCUUUUCACUUACAAUGUAUUUGCUGGAAAAAUUGGGAUUUCUAGGUUUCUACUGCUUAUGAAUAUAAAUGGCGCAUUUUUCGCACUAUUGCUCGUAUCCAAAAACUCACACUAAACUCUUAUGAACUCACCAGCUUUAUGCUGAUAUUCGUUUUCAAAAUAACUUGUAUCUUCAGGUCAAAGAUAGACAGGUACAGACGCAGCAUUUUUGGAGAAGGUGGAGCACACAAGACCCAUCUCUUAUUUUUGAUUUACUUUUGGGUGAUUGUUAAACAUUACAAAACACACUUGUAAUUAAAUUCACUAUGUAAAUGCAAUGGUUGUAUGUUUCCUUGUUUUUACUAUUAUGCAAUUGUGAUGAUACUGUACAUGACGUCCUCCACCCCGAAACGUAUUCCGCCGUUAUCGGUUUUCGGGUGUGACAGAUUGGUAUCAGAGCCAGGUUUAUAGUGAAUCAAGUAUAUCAACCUAUAAAAGAUAUAUGAACUAUAAAUACUUCGGGACUAAAACACUCUGACCAAAAAUAUAUACUGUUAAGUAUCUAAAAGAUCUAACUAAGUAUAUAUAUAUAUACACAUCACUAUAAAACACCGAAGUCAGUAUCAUCCUAGAACAAAACGAAAGUAUUAAGAUUGUUGGACAGCACAAUUGGGUUUAGAGACAUAUAGUCACAUUCAGGGUGAUGUAGCCUGAUCAACUACGUUUUCCUGAGAGUGACUAGCAUGUGCCUAAGUUUGGUUGUGAUGUUGCAACAAGUCUAAAACUUACCAACAAUAUCAUAAUAACGCUACCAUAAGAAUACUAUAGGAGUAUUCUGUAUCUCUAGAUUAUACGUAUGUGAUAACAAAAAGGGGUCGUUACUAGUAGGACAAUAGUUGCUAAGUGGAUACAUCACGAUUACAUGUGAUUAGGGCGUUAUAGACUCAGAAUCUGCAGCCUUUGCUUCAUUCCCUGUUCUUGUUUGAUUGGGGGUCUGAAGUUAGGGUGGUUUAUUCGAAGGACUAUCUUGCUUCGGUUACAUGUAAUCGGUAUGCACUAUGCAAGUAUUGGGUCAACUAGUAAUGAUUCCUCCUAUAAGUAUCUUAGAAUAGUACGUCUAUUAAUCCUCUUUUCCCCCUUUCUCGCGUAGAUAGCAUGGCUGGCUUCCACCUACCCGGCGAUCCGUACUUUCCGAACCAGGGCAAUGGAGGAUGGCUCGAAGAGGAGUCAGACGACGAUCACCCUAUUCCUUUGGAUGAUCAUCAUGCUGAAGGCUUCUCGGAUAGCUCGAGCUCCGAGCCAGAAGUCAACAACCAACCUCCUGAAGCCCCGAACCCUAACCCCCGACCGGCAUUUCAGGGCCCCACUCCUAUGUGGGCAAUAUCCUUGCAUCGAUGGAGCGAGGAGCAGGGUCAGCCCUUGCCUUACAAUGGAGACCGAAGCUUCUACAACAUAAGCGAAGGAGGAUCAGCGGAUCGGGUUCUGCCCAUCAUGAUCCGAAGGAUUGCCAGGAAUGUUGAGCAAGGUCAAGCUGCUAUUGGUCGAGUUGUAGAAGUGGAUGCCAACUCAAACCUCAACACUGUUCGCAUCCGCCAACUCGAAGAAGCCAUGGACAGGACAAGGAGGACCAACGAGGCUCUGCAGCAUCAGCUGGCUGCAUCCCGAGCUGAAGUUAGGGAACUCCGAGCACGCCAAAGGACUCAUGAUCGACACCUUCAAGAAGUUAUGCGUCAACUAGAGGAUCUGAGGAUUCGCCCAACAAGCAAUCGUCGCCAGUAGAAGACAUCUAGUUACCUCACUCUUUUGUUUAAAGGACUAGCCUUUUAUCUCUAUGUUCCGUAGGUCUCUUGUCUGUAAACAUUCCUAGUUUAAAAGUACUCUAGCUGAACCUCUAAACUGCCAACAUUUUCUCUAUGGUAUGAUGUAAGACCUACUGCUAGGUCAAUUUUCAUGAACUUGUGUUGCAUCAUUAAUACCAGUAUAUUGGCAGAUGAUUUCUCUAUUGCUAUAACUCUUACCCUGAUCUUGGAUUAUGUUGAUUUAAUCCACGAAACACUCUAUUCAUAUUCGCAAUAGGCUCUUACUAUUGCUAUCAUUUCUAUGAUCUUCCAGUGAAGGAUGCCUCCACGAAAGCGUCCCAGCAGAGGAAGACCUGAAACUCAAACCCCUCCUCCACCACCUCCUCCUCCGCAGUUCGAUCCGGUGUUGUUCCAAGCGGCUGUGACUGCAGCUGUAACAGCAGCCAUGGCCCAAAUGAACUCGGGUGAUGCGAGCGGUGGAAAUUCUAGAUUUGGUGAAGUCCACCAACGAGUGCAGGGAUGCACUUAUAAGGACUUCAUGAAUUGUAAACCUGCUUUCUUUGAUGGUACCGGAGGAAUUCUGGCAUUGUCCCAAUGGUUCGAAAGAACCGAAGCUGUAUUCGAGAUGUGCUCUUGUCCCGAAGAGAGCAAAAUCAAGUUCGCUACUGCUACCCUCACUAACAGGGCUUUGUCAUGGUGGAACGGCCAUGUCAACGCACUCUCCUUGGUCACAGCCAAUGCCAUGGGCUGGGACACUCUAAAAGAUCUUAUGAGAGGAGAGUACUGCCCUAGGGGCGAAGUUCAGAAGCUUGAGGAAGAACUCUGGAACCUCAAGAUGAAGGGGACCGACAUAACGGCUUAUACGGCCAGGUUUUGCGACUUGGCGGCUAUGUGUCCCAACAUGAUCCCCUCUGAAAGCAAGAAGAUUGAACGUUACAUCUGGGGUUUAGUGCCCCCGUAUCGAGGAAAUGUUCUGGCUUCACGCCCUACCACUUUCGACAGCGCCAAGGAAUUGGCCCAGAGUCUGAUCAACCACGAAAUCUCCUCCACUCCAGCAACAACAACCACAACAACAACUGCACCAUCCGGAUCAUCCGACAGAAAAAGGAAACGAUGGGAUAAGAAGAAAGGCAAGAAAACUCAAACCGUCUCCAGGGAUCAGCAAAUUGUGGCGGUUCAUGCUGCCACCAUCCCGGCCGCACCAGCUGCUCCAGCCCCACCGAAAGCUUACAGUGGGAAUUUGCCUAAGUGUCCCAAGUGCCCUUUUCACCACAACGGUCCAUGCCGUGAAUUGCAGUGUUCCAACUGCGGACGGAAGGGCCAUACUGUCCGAUUUUGCAAGGCCCCUCCCAAACCUAUCACACAGGUUCCUGGUACGGGAGUGACCCCGACGUGUUAUGGCUGCGGUGAAGCGGGCCAUUUUAAGAAGAACUGUCCGAAGGCUGCAAAUGCUGGGGGAACUGGAAGGUUACUUGCUAUCGGUCACAAUGAAGCAGUAGCUGAUCCCACGGUGGUCACGGGUACGUUUCUUCUCAACAACUCUUAUGCCUGUGUCUUAUUCGAUAGUGGUGCAGAAAGAAGCUUCAUAAAUCAAAACUUUAAACACUUACUCAAACAAACCCCUCAACCACUAAAAGAAACAUUCGUUGUAGAAAUGGCUAAUGGGAAGACAGAAAGCUCUAAUGAAAUCUAUAUAGGUUGUACUCUCACGUUAGAUGAUCACCCCUUUUUAAUCGAUCUUAUACCAGUCUCAAUCAAAAAUUUCGAUGUCAUUGUUGGUAUGGAUUGGCUAAGCCUUCACUACGCCGACAUCCUAUGUUCCGAGAAAGCCAUUCGCCUGAACUUUCCGAAUCGAGAGACCCUAGUGAUAUACGGAGAUAAGCCAAGUACAAACCUUCGUAUCAUCUCUAGUAUUCAGGCUCAGAAAUACUUGCGCAAGGAAUAUCGCGCCUUUCUUGCUCACGUCGUCGACACUAACCAGAAAUCGAAAGAUCCAAAAGACAUUCCAGUAGUAUGCGAUUUUCCUGAUGUCUUUCCGGAGGAUCUCCCAGGCCUACCUCCUAAACGACAGGUUGAAUUCAGAAUCGACCUAAUCCCAGGAGCUACCCCCGUAGCUAAGUCGCCCUACCGACUAGCGCCCGCCGAAAUGCAAGAACUAUCCGGUCAACUCAACGAACUGCUCAGCAAGGGCUUUAUAAGACCGAGCUUCUCACCUUGGGGAGCUCCGGUCUUGUUCGUGAAGAAAAAGGAUGGGUCGUUUCGGAUGUGCAUCGAUUAUAGGGAACUCAAUAAACUCACGAUCAAAAAUCGCUAUCCUCUCCCUCGUAUCGACGACCUAUUCGACCAACUCCAAGGAGCCAGUUACUUCUCCAAGAUUGAUCUUAGAUCGGGGUACCAUCAGUUGCGGGUGCUCGAGGAAGAUGUUCCAAAGACAGCUUUCCGAACCCGCUACGGGCAUUUCGAGUUCGUAGUGAUGCCCUUUGGACUGACUAACGCCCCUGCAGUAUUCAUGGACUUGAUGAAUAGGGUGUGUCGUCCAUAUCUAGAUCAGUUCGUCAUCGUCUUUAUUGACGACAUACUCGUCUACUCUCGAAGCGAGGAAGAGCACAGAAAUCAUUUACGAUUAGUCCUGGAAACCCUGCGAUCCGAGAAGUUGUAUGCGAAGUUCUCUAAGUGCGAGUUUUGGAUCCGGAGAGUUGAAUUCUUAGGGCACGUGGUCAGUGAAGACGGAAUCCACGUGGACCCCUCCAAAAUCAAAGCUAUUGAGAACUGGUCAGCACCAAAGACGCCUACGGAAAUUCGUCAAUUUCUAGGCCUCGCUGGCUACUACCGUCGGUUCAUCCAAAAUUUCUCUCGGAUUGCGAAACCUCUCACCAUGCUAACACAGAAGGGUGUAUCAUUCGACUGGGAAGAGAAACAGGAGAAGGCAUUUCAGACCCUGAAGCGAGCCCUAUGCACCGCACCAGUAUUAUCCCUUCCCGAAGGGACAGAAGAUUUCGUCGUAUACUGUGAUGCAUCCAAUCAGGGGCUCGGUUGUGUCUUGAUGCAACGAGGCAAGGUUAUCGCCUAUGCCUCGAGACAGCUAAAGAACCAUGAAGUGAACUACACUACUCACGACCUCGAGUUAGGAGCGGUCGUCUUCGCACUAAAAAUCUGGAGACACUACUUGUAUGGGACGAAGAGCGUGGUGUACACUGAUCAUAAAAGCCUCCAACAUAUACUGAACCAAAAAGAACUCAACAUGAGACAGCGUCGAUGGGUCGAGUUACUUAACGAUUACGACUGUGAAAUUAGAUAUCAUCCGGGGAAAGCCAACGUAGUAGCUGACGCCCUGAGCAGAAAGGAAUAUUCCGGACGAAGGACCAAGUCGUUGACAAUGACUAUACAUUCACAUCUAUCCACGCAGAUCAAAGAGGCUCAGCUGGAAGCCUUAAAGCCUGGAAACGUGACGGGAGAAUCCCUGCGCGGAAUGGAUAAAAAUCUGGAGGUUAAGGGUGACGGAGCCUAUUACUUUAUGGACCGAAUCUGGACUCCACGCCAUGGAGGUUUCAGAGAUUUGGUUAUGAGGGAAGCACACAACACUCGUUACUCCGUCCACCCGGGUUCAGAUAAGAUGUAUCUGGAUCUCAAAAAGCUAUACUGGUGGCCGAACAUGAAAGCGGAGAUCGCUACCUUUGUAAGUAAGUGCCUUACUUGCGCGAAGGUCAAAGUCGAAUAUCAAAAGCCAUCAGGACUCCUCCAACAACCGGAGGUACCAGAAUGGAAGUGGGAGCGAAUCACAAUGGACUUUAUCACCAAGCUGCCCAAGACAGCAGGUGGAUUAGAUACCAUUUGGGUCAUCGUUGACAGGUUGACCAAGUCUGCACACUUUCUACCCAUCAAGGAGACGGACAAGAUGGAGAAGCUCACUAGAACUUAUAUAAAAGAAAUAGUGCGACUGCAUGGCGUCCCUAUAUCUAUUAUAUCAGACAGAGAUAGUAGAUUCACCUCUAGAUUUUGGCAAUCAUUGCAAAAGGCACUAGGAACGAGGCUGGACAUGAGUACAGCCUACCAUCCGCAGACUGACGGACAAAGUGAGAGGACGAUCCAAACCUUAGAAGACAUGCUGCGAGCUUGUGUGAUCGACUUCGGGAAAUCGUGGGAUACACACUUGCCUCUUGUGGAGUUUUCCUACAACAAUAGUUAUCAUACGAGCAUCAAGGCAGCUCCAUUCGAAGCCCUCUACGGCCGGAAGUGCAGAUCCCCUUUGUGCUGGGCUGAGGUGGGAGACACUCAGUUAGCUAAAGGACGAGUUCCUGACAGCGCCCUCACUGGUCCGGAGAUCAUUCGAGAGACAACCGAGAAGAUUGUGCAGAUACAUGAAUGACUAAAAGCCACUAGGGAUCGGCAGAAAAGCUACGCCGACAAACUAAGAAAACCCUUGGAAUUCCAGGUGGGAGAUCGAGUCCUUUUGAAGGUCUCGCCCUGGAAAGGCACGAUACGCUUCGGAAAACGUGGAAAGUUAAACCCAAGGUACAUAGGGCCUUUUGAGAUUCUCGCCAGAAUCGGCCCUGUAGCUUACAAACUAAACUUACCCCGAGAGCUAAGUAACAUACAUCCUACCUUCCACGUCUCAAACUUGAAGAAAUGUCUGUCUGACGAGACUCUCGUGAUUCCCCUCGACGAGAUCGACAUCAAUGAGAGCCUCAACUUCGUGGAAGAGCCUGUGGAGAUUUUGGAUCGUGAGGUAAACGGACGAAACAAAGCCGAAUCCCAAUUGUGAAGGUUCGAUGGAACACCAAGCGAGGACCGGAAUUCACUUGGGAGCGCGAGGAUCAAAUGAAACUCAAAUACCCUCAUCUCUUUGCUUAGUAGUAUUGUAAUAACCUAUCUGUUGGAAUUCUAAAUUUCGGGACAAAAUUCCCCUAACGGGGGGAUGAUGUGACAACCCCAAAUCUAUUCCCGUUACAAAUCUCAUCUUCACUAACGGAAUGCGUCACUAUACGUUAUUUUCUGUAAUAUUUGGAAUCGUCAAUAACCGAAUAUCUAGUUAUAUGCAUGUCUUGAUAUUAUCAUAAGUAAAUAUAACUUGUAUGUGUUAACCCCGUUUAACCUAAUAGAGUUAUAUUACUUUUUCAACCACUUCACCCGGGUAAAAAGUUUUAACCCUGUUAAACUUUAAGCAUCGGGUAGCCGUGUAUCGGGUACGAUACCCGAGGCAUAUGAAAUGAGUGUAAACAACAUUUGAACACUCUUUUACCACACAUUCACUCUCUCUCACUACUUUCUCUCUCUAGACCCGAAAUCGACCCCAAAUCCGCGAAUUUCCGGCUUCCAAACGUAAGGACUCAUUCCCUAUCUUAAUCUAGACAUACUUCACUAUAUUUAGGGGCCAAAAUCUUAGAAAUUAAGGACCAAAAAGGAGUUUACGGCCUAAGAAGCCCCUUAGGCCGUAAACCCCUAAAAACAUGCCAAAGACCUCAUUUUUCCUUCCUUUAAGCUUAUGUACUAAUUAAGACAUAUACCUAGGAGAGUUUGGACACUAAAACACAAGGAAUUGAAGCUUAAAAAGGAGUUUACGGCCCAAGCUUGUGCUUAGGCCGUAAACACCCCAAAAACCCCACAAAUCCUUGUUUAAAGCCCCAAAAACUCAUCUAAGGUGUUUGGUAAUUUAGACUUGACACUAAGGAAGGUUUAAAUGCAUCAAACAACAUCAUUUGAAGACAAAAAGAGGAGUUUACGGCCAAGGCUAAGCUUGGGCCGUAAACACCCAAGUUUUUGUGUCAAACAAGUCCCAAAACUCCUCUAAUGCAUGUAAGGAAUUUAGCUAAGGCCCUUGGAUGUGUGUUGUACCAUUAAACUUCCCAUUUUGAGGCCAAAUGAAGAGUUUACGGCCAAGGAUAUUCUUGGGCCGUAAACUCCCCAAUUUUCAUGCCAAAUUGUCCCAAAACUCAUUUUAAGGCCUUCUAGGAUUUACCUAAGGUGAAUGAGAACAUGUUGUACCAUUUAAACACCCAUUUUGAUGGAUUAAAUGGAGUUUACGGCCCAAGAACAAGCCUUGGCCGUAAACUCCCCAAAAUGACACAAAAAUAAGAGUUUAAUCCCUCCAUAUUGGUCCAAGACUCAUACCAUUAAAGUAAGGAAGUGAAAUAAGGCCUUAAACAUACAAUUUGGAGGACCACAUGAGUUUACGGCCAAGCCUAGGGGGCUUACGGCCGUAAACUCCCAAGGAGUGGCCUUUGGGCCGUAAACUCCAAGGGAGUGAGCUCAUGGACCCUCCCGUAAAUCAUUCUUGGCCUUGUACCACUCCCGGGAACCCCUUCUAGGCCCUAAAACCCCGAAAACGAUGCUAGAAUGUCCAAAUACUAUAAUGAAAAGCAUAAGAUGAUUAACUUCUUGUAAAAUACAUAUUUCAUAUGACAUUAGGGUCCUAAAAGGUGCUCAAGUCGUUAUUUGGUACCAAACGCUCAACCGACACUUUUACCCGAUUUACCCGAUUCACCCGAUUUACGCGAUUUCAGGUGAGUUCAUACCCCUUUAAUGAACCUUUCAAAUGUUUUAAAUGUUUUAGGGGGGAGAUACAAGUUACUUAUAUAUGUUUAUGGAAAGUUUUACAGAAUGAUUUUCCACGUUACGAGGAUUAAUCACAUGUGAUUCACUAUCCUUAGUUCAAAUCACAUGUGAUUUAUCACUAUGCCUUAUAAACAGGUUUUUGCAUUUUCAAAACUAUUUGGACAGCAAGCCAGAUUUUUAAAUGUUCUUUUGGAAAAUACUUUUAUUAAAUCAAUUUACUUAUAAAACGUAACCACUCUGAUAUAUUUAUAUAAGUAAGACUUGGAGGACUUAGGACCGAUAUCUCGCCUUAUUUCCUGUUCUUGUUUGAUUGUGGGCUUAGGGUAGUAGUUAUCUGUCCGACUGUCGUUGAUUUCUUAGUUAUAUAGCUUGUAUAUUAGUAUGGGAUACGAAUAAUUCUCUUUCACUAAAAUACUAAAGUCACUAACCUGUCAAGAACCAUCCACACUAAGAUAACUAUAAUAGGUAUAGUUAAUGUUGCUACUGCUACUACUCGCUAAAGUCACUACUCUCUACACUAUAAUACUCACUAUUACUAGACAAUACACUAGUAAGAGAAUACACUAUGAUCAAUACUAAAAGAUUUCUACACUAUAACAGAAGAGAAAACACUAAACAAACAAUAAUACACUAACCCGCUACGAGAUACUCUAUUCGCUACCCACUACGCCCGGAGUUUUCCAGCAGGAAGACGACACUACAUGUAUAGAUCUAUACAGGGCAGACGCUAUUACAUCCCGACUGAUAAUAUC